rnacentral:siRNA from 1 species
GAAAACGUUUGCCGAUUUUAACU